rnacentral:rRNA from 1 species
GAUGAACGCUGGCGGCGUGCCUAAUACAUGCAAGUCGAGCGAACGGACGAGAAGCUUGCUUUUCUGGUGUUAGCGGCGGACGGGUGAGUAACACGUGGAUAACCUACCUAUAAGACUGGGAUAACUUCGGGAAACCGGAGCUAAUACCGGAUAAUAUUUUGAACCGCAUGGUUCAUAAGUGAAAGACGGUCUUGCUGUCACUUAUAGAUGGAUCCGCGCUGCAUUAGCUAGUUGGUAAGGUAACGGCUUACCAAGGCAACGAUGCAUAGCCGACCUGAGAGGGUGAUCGGCCACACUGGAACUGAGACACGGUCCAGACUCCUACGGGAGGCAGCAGUAGGGAAUCUUCCGCAAUGGGCGAAAGCCUGACGGAGCAACGCCGCGUGAGUGAUGAAGGUCUUCGGAUCGUAAAACUCUGUUAUUAGGGAAGAACAUAUGUGUAAGUAACUGUGCACAUCUUGACGGUACCUAAUCAGAAAGCCACGGCUAACUACGUG